UAAAUAAAAAUGGUUAACCACAUACUGUGA
rnacentral:piRNA from 1 species